UACGAAGGGGGCUAGCGUUGCUCGGAAUUACUGGGCGUAAAGCGCACGUAGGCGGCUUUGUAAGUUAGAGGUGAAAGCCCGGGGCUCAACUCCGGAACUGCCUUUAAGACUGCAUCGCUAGAAUUGUGGAGAGGUAAGUGGAAUUCCGAGUGUAGAGGUGAAAUUCGUAGAUAUUCGGAAGAACACCAGUGGCGAAGGCGACUUACUGGACAC
rnacentral:rRNA from 1 species